rnacentral:rRNA from 1 species
AUUGAACGCUGGCGGCAUGCUUUACACAUGCAAGUCGAACGGUAACAGGUUAAGCUGACGAGUGGCGAACGGGUGAGUAAUGCAUCGGAACGUGCCCGAGCGUGGGGGAUAACGCAGCGAAAGCUGCGCUAAUACCGCAUACGAUCUGAGGAUGAAAGCGGGGGACCGUAAGGCUUCGCGCGAUCGGAGCGGCCGAUGUCAGAUUAGGUAGUUGGUGGGGUAAAGGCCCACCAAGCCGACGAUCUGUAGCUGGUCUGAGAGGACGACCAGCCACACUGGGACUGAGACACGGCCCAGACUCCUACGGGAGGCAGCAGUGGGGAAUUUUGGACAAUGGGCGAAAGCCUGAUCCAGCAAUGCCGCGUGCAGGAAGAAGGCCUUCGGGUUGUAAACUGCUUUUGUACGGAGCGAAAAGGUCCUUUCUAAUACAAGGGGCUCAUGACGGUACCGUAAGAAUAAGCACCGGCUAACUACGUGCCAGCAGCCGCAGUAA